CUGCGAGUUCGCGGGAGAGUAAGUUAUUGCCAGGGUUUUUAUUUUAUACUUUAAACAUUGAUUUUAUUUUUUAUGUUUUUAGAUGUUCAUGUUUUUGAAUGUUUUAUUCAAAUAAUAUAAAAAAUAAAAUAUAUAUUGACAUGGAUUAAACAAAGAUAUAUAUUAUUCUAUGUUGUAUAAACAAAUUGGCAAAAUAGAGAUGGAAGAUAAAAAUAUGGUCAAAGUAAUAAGAGUCUAUGGUGAAUGCCUAGGA
rnacentral:misc_RNA from 1 species